rnacentral:rRNA from 1 species
AAGAGCUUUUGGAAUAAGGGCUGGGCAAGACCGGUGCCAGCCGCCGCGGUAACACCGGCAGCUCUAGUGGUAGCAGUUUUUAUUGGGCCUAAAGCGUCCGUAGCCGGUUUAAUAAGUCUCUGGUGAAAUCCUGUAGCUUAACUGUGGGAAUUGCUGGAGAUACUAUUAGACUUGAGACCGGGAGAGGUUAGAGGUACUCCCAGGGUAGAGGUGAAAUUCUGUAAUCCUGGAAGGACCGCCUGUUGCGAAGGCGUCUAACUGGAACGGUUCUGACGGUGAGGGACGAAAGUUAGGGGCGCGAACCGGAUUAGAUACCCGGGUAGUCCUAACUGUAAACGAUGCGGACUUGGUGUUGGGGUGGCUUUGAGCUGCUCCAGUGCCGAAGGGAAGCUGUUAAGUCCGCCGCCUGGGAAGUACGUCGCAAGACUGAAACUUAA